GUCGAGCGAACAGACGAGGAGCUUGCUCCUCUGACGUUAGCGGCGGACGGGUGAGUAACACGUGGAUAACCUACCUAUAAGACUGGGAUAACUUCGGGAAACCGGAGCUAAUACCGGAUAAUAUAUUGAACCGCAUGGUUCAAUAGUGAAAGACGGUUUUGCUGUCACUUAUAGAUGGAUCCGCGCCGCAUUAGCUAGUUGGUAAGGUAACGGCUUACCAAGGCAACGAUGCGUAGCCGACCUGAGAGGGUGAUCGGCCACACUGGAACUGAGACACGGUCCAGACUCCUACGGGAGGCAGCAGUAGGGAAUCUUCCGCAAUGGGCGAAAGCCUGACGGAGCAACGCCGCGUGAGUGAUGAAGGUCUUCGGAUCGUAAAACUCUGUUAUUAGGGAAGAGCAAAUGUGUAAGUAACUAUGCACGUCUUGACGGUACCUAAUCAGAAAGCCACGGCUAACUACGUGCCAGCAGCCGCGGUAAUACGUAGGUGGCAAGCGUUAUCCGGAAUUAUUGGGCGUAAAGCGCGCGUAGGCGGUUUUUUAAGUCUGAUGUGAAAGCCCACGGCUCAACCGUGGAGGGUCAUUGGAAACUGGAAAACUUGAGUGCAGAAGAGGAAAGUGGAAUUCCAUGUGUAGCGGUGAAAUGCGCAGAGAUAUGGAGGAACACCAGUGGCGAAGGCGACUUUCUGGUCUGUAACUGACGCUGAUGUGCGAAAGC
rnacentral:rRNA from 1 species